UACGAAGGGGGCUAGCGUUGUUCGGAAUCACUGGGCGUAAAGGGCGCGUAGGCGGCCGAUCAAGUCGGACGUGAAAUCUCCACGCUCAACGUGGAGGGGCCGUUCGAUACUGUCGUGACUCGAGUCCGGUAGGGGAGUGUGGAAUUCCCGGUGUAGCGGUGAAAUGCGCAGAGAUCGGGAGGAACACCCGUAGCGAAGGCGGCACUCUGGGCCGGUACUGACGCUGAGGAGCGAAAGCGUGGGGAGCAAACAGG
rnacentral:rRNA from 1 species